ACGCACAAAGUGCCAGGAAAGAAUUAUUCAAGCCCUUCCCAGAAGGUAUCCUUCUGGCAAGGGUACUGUACUAAACUAACUAAAGUGGGGGAUAGUGAGGGGAUAAAUUUUCUUAAGGAACUCGGCAAAAUCCCAAUGGCCCACCAGGGCAUAUUGGAACACGGGCCUCGACUGUUUACCAAAAACAUAGCCCUCGGCUAAUAUGAAAAUAGAUGUAUAGAGGGUGAUGCCUGCCCAAUGGUUGUAUCUAAAAGCGGUUGAUAAAAGUUGACCUCGUAAGGACAAUUGAAUGGCCGCGGUAACACUGACCGUGAUAAUGUAGCGUAAUCAAUAGCCAAUUAAUUGUUGGCCAGUAUGAAUGGCGCCACGAAGGCCCCACUGUCUUAAGGAAAUUCCCAGUGAAAUUGAAUUCGUAGUGAAGAUGCUACGUCCAAUUUGUUAGACGAAAAGACCCCGUUGAGCUUUACUGGAGCACUUACAUGGCCCCGGCCUUCCCAUGCCUGGGAACCGGCCGAAUUUAAAUGGGCGGCUUAGAUUAUGUGGCAGCCCCCCGCUGGGGCAAAUGAAACACCACUCCCCCAUGUCAAAGGGGCUAACCCCCCCCCUUGGGGGGACAGUGUAAGUAGGACAGUUUGGUUGGGGCGACCACCUUUUAAAAAGUAACGAAGGUGCGCUUAAGGUGCGCAAUUAAUGACUGAAGCCUGACUGCGAGGGGGACACCCCGAGCAGACACCCCAAAGCCCGCCCGAAAGGCGGCGGUGGGGUGGGCCAUAGUGACCCGUUAAUUUAGAGUGGAAUAGUUAACGAUCAACGAAUAAAAGUUACCACGGGGAUAACAGCGUAAUAUCGUUAGAGAGUUCACAUCGACGACGAUGUUUGCGACCUCGAUGUUGAAUUGCGGCAUCCUGGGGUGCAGCCGCUCC
rnacentral:rRNA from 1 species